UUUGUGUUUCCUAUAAAAGCUUUUGUAUAGAAAAAUAACUCACCUUUCUCUUGCAGAACUUCCUCACCUUGAAUUCAAGUCUGAGGAGCCAAACAGCCACAGUUAUUCUGAGGCCUUUUAUACCUCGUGGGAUUUGCUCCUCCUUUUCCUGCAAAUGAGGGGUGGUCCCAAUCAGGGGUAUAUUAACCUCAGCCUUUGCUAAGGGCCUUCAUUCCUUCUCUGGGAAUCAACUGGGAUAAGGGUUCUCCUCUCAUUUCAAUACAGAGGAUGUUUCACCUUAUCUCAGUUUGUAUUUUAGCAGAUGCUUUUGGGCAUCUGUAGCAAAGGCUUUGAAAAUUCAGUGAAGAAAAUAGCAUUAAAUACACUGAGCAUUUAAGUGCAUAGUUUUGGGUUAUGUAUUCAGAGGUAAUUAGGUGCUUUUGUAAUUUUUUUUGUGCUCUUGGGCUUUUUUUUUUUUUUUAGGUGGAUUACAGCUUCUUAAAAUUUCAGUUUGUGUUAAGUAUGAGACCUGAGAUUUUUUUCAGCACCUUUGUCAUAUGACAAAUGGCAUCUGACCUGUGUUAAAGAUGUUUGAGGUUAAAGCUUCAGGUGAGUAAAGGGAGAGGGAGAGUGAGCAGGCUAUCCAGUUAGGAGUUACCUUAGAGCGUUGGGUGGACGUGGUUUGAAGGCAGUACGGUGUAAAAUGUCCAUUGGUGGGCCCUCGAGACUUUUCACAAGUGCGGCAGAUGUAUUUGCACAUCUUACAGCGCAUGAGCUCACCUACCUCGCUCACAGAAAUGCCACCUAACUUUGUCUCUUCCUAACCCAGGUGCCCAUUGUAACAGCCCCAGCCUCAGGCUCUGGCUGGAGCUGGAGACUCAAGGACCCCAGCACGCUCAGGAGAGGUGUAGGUGACGCAGAGAGAGGAGCCCGGCGAUGGCAGCGAUGUCCCGGACAUCGAGGGAGCCUCGCUUCGCACCUACACUGGAUUUGCCUCUCUGGGUGUCUGACAGAUAAGCGAAGGGCUGUGAUUCACAGAGGGGAUGACAGAGGGGUGCUGGGUCUGUAAUUGUCAGGAGGGGUUUCUGAGGCAGCUUUGGAGAUGGGGAUGUCCAAGAAGCAGCCCCUUAGGCCCCAUGAGAGGCAAGUCUCAAUUUGAUCUCAAUGCUGAAAUGCACAGGGCAGAGCAGUUCUGGUGGGUGUCAUGACACUUGUUUAUCAUGCACUGUGUGUCUUUUGAGUGUGUUGUAUUGCAUGUCUUGAGUCUAAGCCCUUUGAGGGGCAUAUCAGAAAUUCUGGGCUAAUUUUUAGCCUCCGCUUUCCUUGGUCUGAUGCUGGCCCAUGGGAGCGUGGGCUGGCAUGGUAAUCACAUCUCUGCUUGGAAACAUCCAGUCUGAUGUCUUUUAAGGUCUUCUUCUGAGCUGUAUUGACAGCUGUACACCACAAGGGUCUGUUACAGAGGUUUAGGAUGUGGAAGAAUGUGAAAGUAGGGAGAGGAUUCUGACCAGAAAUUUCUCAGGCAUCCAUCUCUUCAGUUCUUGGGAUUAAUGCUUCUGCUAGCAUCUUCUUCCGGCCUCAUCAUUGCCCCAUCAGUCUCCCCCCAGUCAUCCCAUCUUUCAUUCUCUCAGUCCUCAUGAUCCUUCUUCCUGCUGGGAGAUUUUUUUUUCUUUUUUCCCCUCCCCAUGUCCUCCCCUCGUUUGUCAUGUCCUGUGUCACGGGUGCCUGCACGCAUUUGGCCAGGAGCUGCUCUGCCCUGCUGUGUAGUCUGGGUAGAGGGGUGCUAGGACCAGUCCUAGGGACUUGCUUUUAAUGAUGUGGGAUGGGGUUGGACUCUAGUUGAGAUCUGCAGAUUGAUCCCAGUUCUCUGGAGGGGUUGGGCUGACCUGCAGCACUUUGACUUUUGUCCUGCCUCUGUUUCAAAUGCAGAUGGAUCCAAGUUGAGGACAAGGCCCCCCCUGGGAAAUGAAGCUGGAUAUCAGCAGGCCAGGCAGUGCCCUUGAACUACCCUGAGAUGGCUCUGCCCAGCUGGCCCAGAGACCCAGUUCACUGCUCCUGUGAGCCCUCCAGCAGUAUUACAGGAGUCUGAUGAAGCCUUCACCUUCUCCUAUUUGAAGAUGCCAACUGGGUGACCUUUGGCAAGAGCCGAGCAGUUGGGGUCUAUUUUGUGAUGAUGGCAUCAGACUGAGUGCAGCUGAACUGUGUGACCUGAGGCCCUGGGCAUUCUUGGGAGAUGCUGACUAAGGGACAACAGCCCAAUGAUGGCAGGAAUUUCCCAGAUGGUGAAGCUUUUUUACUGCACACCUGGCCUGGAUUCUCAUACCUGGAUCUCUGACAG